AGAUGAAGGUAGCAUGGUAAUGUGCACACAGAUUGAAUUUCAGGUCUACAUGUCUGCCCUUGAUGAUUUCUGAUUCAGGGGCCUGGUUAAGACCUACAUUA